rnacentral:rRNA from 1 species
AACCGCUCAGUAACACGUGGACAACCUACCCUUAGGUCGGAGAUAAACCCGGGAAACUGGGUAUAAUACCCGAUAGAUCUCGACUGCUGGAAUGCAUCGAGAUCGAAAGCUCCGGCGCCUAAGGAUGGGUCUGCGGCCUAUCAGGUAGUAGUGGGUGUAAUGGACCUACUAGCCGACAACGGGUACGGGUUGUGAGAGCAAGAGCCCGGAGAUGGAUUCUGAGACAUGAAUCCAGGCCCUACGGGGCGCAGCAGGCGCGAAAACUUUACAAUGCGGGAAACCGUGAUAAGGGGACACCGAGUGCCAGCAUCAUAUGCUGGCUGUCCAGGUGUGUAAAAUACACCUGUUAGCAAGGGCCGGGCAAGACCGGUGCCAGCCGCCGCGGUAACACCGGCGGCCCGAGUGGUGAUCGUGAUUAUUGGGUCUAAAGGGUCCGUAGCCGGUUUGGUCAGUCCUCAGGGAAAUCUGAUAGCUCAACUGCUAGGCUUUCUGGGGAUACUGCCAGGCUUGGAACCGGGAGAGGUAAGAGGUACUACAGGGGUAGGAGUGAAAAUCUUGUAAUCCCUGUGGGACCACCUGUGGCGAAGGCGUCUUACCAGAACGGGUUCGACGGUGAGGGACGAAAGCUGGGGGCACGAACCGGAUUAUAUACCCGGGUUGUCCCAGCCGUAAACGAUGCUCGCUAGGUGUCAAGGCAUGGCGCGACCGUGUCUGGUGCCGCUAGGGAAUGCCGUGUAGCGAGCCACCUGGGAAGGUACGGCCGCUAGGCUGAAACUUUAAAGGAAUUGGCGGGGGUAGCAC